rnacentral:rRNA from 1 species
UGAGGAAUAUUGGUCAAUGGGCGAGAGCCUGAACCAGCCAAGUAGCGUGCAGGAUGACGGCCCUAUGGGUUGUGAACUGCUUUUAUGUGGGGAUAAAGUGCGUGACGUGUCAUGCAUUGCAGGUACCACAUGAAUAAGGACCGGCUAAUUCCGUGCCAGCAGCCGCGGUAAUACGGAAGGUCCGGGCGUUAUCCGGAUUUAUUGGGUUUAAAGGGAGCGUAGGCUGUCUAUUAAGCGUGUUGUGAAAUUUACCGGCUCAACCGGUGGCUUGCAGCGCGAACUGGUCGACUUGAGUAUGCAGGAAGUAGGCGGAAUUCAUGGUGUAGCGGUGAAAUGCUUAGAUAUCAUGACGAACUCCGAUUGCGCAGGCAGCUUACUGUAGCAUAACUGACGCUGAUGCUCGAAAGUGCGGGUAUCAAACAGG